GACGAACGCUGGCGGCGUGCCUAAUACAUGCAAGUCGACCUUAGUGGCGAACGGGUGAGUAACACGUGGGUAACCUGCCCAUCAGAAGGGGAUAACACUUGGAAACAGGUGCUAAUACCGUAUACUGAUGGAUGGACCCGCGGUGCAUUAGCUAGUUGGUGAGGUAACGGCUCACCAAGGCCACGAUGCAUAGACGACCUGAAGGGGUGAUCGGCAAAAUAGGGACUGAUGAACGGCCCAAACCCCUACGGGAGGCAGCAGAAGGGAAACUUCGGCAAUGGACGAAAUUCUGACCGAGCAACGCCGGGUGAGUGAAGAAGGUUUUCGGAUCGUAAAACUCUGUUGUUAGAGAAGCGGUAUCUAACAAGAAAGCCACGGCUAACGACGUGCCAGCAGCCGCGGUAAUU
rnacentral:rRNA from 1 species